CCUACGGGCGGCUGCAGUGGGGAAUAUUGGACAAUGGGGGCAACCCUGAUCCAGCCAUGCCGCGUGUGUGAAGAAGGCCCUCGGGUUGUAAAGCACUUUCAGUGAGGAAGAACGCCUGGUGGUUAAUACCCAUCAGGAAAGACAUCACUCACAGAAGAAGCACCGGCUAACUCCGUGCCAGCAGCCGCGGUAAUACGGAGGGUGCGAGCGUUAAUCGGAAUUACUGGGCGUAAAGCGCGCGUAGGUGGCUUGAUAAGCCGGUUGUGAAAGCCCCGGGCUCAACCUGGGAACAGCAUCCGGAACUGUCAAGCUAGAGUGCAGGAGAGGAAGGUAGAAUUCCCGGUGUAGCGGUUAAAUGCGUAGAGAUCGGGAGGAAUACCAGUGGCGAAGGCGGCCUUCUGGACUGACACUGACACUGAGGUGCGAAAGCGUGGGUAGCAAACAGGAUUAGAUACCCGUGUAGUC
rnacentral:rRNA from 1 species